GCAGCGGUGGGUCAGUGGUAGAAUUCUCAAGUUCCAUUUGGGAGACAUGAGUUCAGUUCCCAGCCACUGCA
rnacentral:tRNA from 1 species